GUGCAGAUCAGAAACGAAGCUUUCCUCAUGAUGUCGUUUGCUCCUUCGACGAGAAUGAUUGCGGAUUCAAGGGGGCUCUAGACAGCGCAUGGACGUGGGUUCCAAGAAAGGUUAUCAUGACUUCAAAGUCCUCAGGUGCAUUUGUAGGUGGAUACCUGAAAAGCGCAUUGGAGCUAGAGGAUAGAGGAUUAUUUACAAGGAGGCAAAUGUGGAGCGUUAACUUCUACGGUUUAAGUCCUCUUGAUGAUGAGCGUGGUCCAGAGGGAUGUGUCAAUUUCCUGUACUUUUUCGAUCCUGUCAAAACGGGAAUACUGUCUUUGCGGUUGUAUAAAACAGAUCUGAGCUCGCCUCUGGAUCUUGGAUUUGAGUCAGACCGAUCGUUUGUAAUUUGGACGAGUUUUGCGGGAAACAAUUUGGGAAUCAAUCCAACGAAGUGGUACCGAGCCUCCGUUCCUAUUUAUGUGAGCAGGCCUUUCACGCUCGGGUUUGUAUCGGUAAUCAUGGGCGUAGAAAAUGAAAAGUCGGUGAAGGUGGACGAAUUUGAAGUGAGAUACACGGCUUGUGAAUACCCAACUGUCAAUGGAGUCGACGGUAUUACAACAUCGCCAAAAUCAGAAUGGGUCGGGUCCUUAACGAGCCUAUUAUUGAAGGCGACUUCAACGCCAUCCUUGGGCAGUUCGUAUUCUAUACAGUCAUCAUCAAGAUCAUCAUCAAGACCAUCAUCAAGAUCAUCAAGUUUAUUAUCAAGACCAUCAUCAAGAUCAUCAAGUUUAUUAUCGAGACCAUCAUCAAGUUCAUCAAGUUUAUUAUCGAGACUAGCAUCAAGUUCACCAAGUUUAAAAUCGAGACCAUCAUUAAGAUCGUCAAAAUCAUCAUCAAGUUUAUCAUCAAGAUCUUCAUCUAGAUCCUCUUCAAAGUCAUCUUUUGGGGGAAGCUCCAGAUCCUGGACAAAAAACUUAGAUUCGUACUGGGCCUCUCUGAGCCCGUAACUCUUUUUCAUCUCGUUGAUCUAGAAUUGAACGUAUUUGUUCUAAAAGGGACUAUGUUUCACGUUAAGCCUCUGCUAAUAAGUCUUUUUCGUAUAAAUACGUCCAAUUGGACGUAUUUCUGCCAAACGGAACUAUGUGCAUUAAGACAUAUAAUAUCCCCAGAAUACUUUUAAAGCGCCUUUACUUUCCAGAAUCUUGACGGAAUUUUUUUUUUGCUUUAACGACUCAAGAGACAUUGUAGUUAAAAAAUAUAAAGAAUUUUCGAUUUUGACAAAAAAAAAGUUCGUUCAGGCACACCGUGUAUUGAAUGGAGUACUGCUGCUAUUCAACCUUUGUCUUCAGGUCAAAAUUGUGACAAGGAAACUCCUUGCAAGAGGCAAAUUUUUUGUAAUUUCUCCCAAUUUUUUCUCCGUUAUAUAAUUAAAUUGCUUGUUAAAUUCUGAGGUCAAUUUAUUUAAUUGUA
rnacentral:lncRNA from 1 species